rnacentral:lncRNA from 1 species
GUUGCUGUGGCUCUGGCGUAGGCUGGUGGCUACAGCUCCGAUUCAACCCCUAGCCUGGGAACCUCCAUAUGCCGCGGGAGCGGCCCAAGAAAUAGCAACAACAGCAACAACAACAACAGACAAAAAGACAAAAGACAAAAAAAAAAAAUUUUUUUUCAUGACCCUAAAAGGAAACUCUGCCCAUUAGCAGUCAUCUUCCUUCUCUCCCCCCACUACCUAGCCCUAGGUAACCACUAAUCUGUUUUCUUUUUUGGACAUUUUGUAUAAAUACAGUCAUAUCAUAUGUGAUCUUCUGUGUUGAACUUCUCUCAGUGUGAUGACUUCCAGGUUCAUCCAUUUGUAGUAUAUAUUAAUACUUCUUUCCUUUUUAUGGCUAAAUAAUAUUCCAUUGUGUAGAUAUACUACAUUUUGUUUGUCCAUUCAUCAGUUAAUGGAUAUUUGGGGUAUUCCCAACUUUUGACUUAAACGCUAUUAUGCUUCUUUCACAUUGGUGUACAAGUUUUUGUAUGGACAUAUGUUUCCAUUUCUCUUGGAUAUAUACCUAGGAUUGAAAUUGCUGGGUCAUAUGGUAACUCCAUGCCAGACUUUUUGAGGAACUGGCAAACUGUUUGCAGAUCGUCUCUUCCAGUUUUUACAUUCCCACCAGAAAUUACAGGUGGUUUUUGCUUUUGUUUUGGGUGCAUGAUCCACUCAGGGGUCACACACUGCAUUAAUUCGUCACAUCCCUUUAGUCUCCUUCUAUCCAGAACCGUCUGCAGUGUUCUUUGUGACACUGCCCUAUUUGCCACGCAGGGCAGGGUGUUGUAAAAUGUUCUUCACCUUGGAACUAUCUCCUCAUGGCAGGAUUCAGGUUAAGCAUUUUUGUCAGGAAUUCUUCAACAUAGUAUGUUGUAUCCUUAUUUUGUCAGGCAGCUCUUGAUACCAGUUUGUCCCGUUAUUAGAGGUUUGAAGUUGGUUAAUUAAUGUUGUCUACCAGGUUUCUCCCUUAGAAAGAUACCCUUUCCCCUUUGUAAUUAGUAAGCAGUCUGUGGGGUCAUGUUUAGAUUGGGACUGUUGUGUCCUCAGUAGUUUGGCAGUCAGUGAAGUGUUCAUUGGUGAUUCUUGACUGAAGCAUUUAUUACUACAGUGGUUGUAAAAAAGUGAUUGUCUCUCAUUCCUCCUACAUUGUUGACAUAUUUCAGUAAAGGGUACUCCCCUUUUAAGGGGUUUUAGUGUAAUUUUCUCAUUCAGUGUAAUGAACAGCUGUGUCAUUAUUCAUGCUGAUUCUCAAAUUCGGCUGAAAUUUGGCUUCUUCUUUGAGCAUUACUUUUAUUUUAGAGCCUUACCCUCAGCAUAUGGAGGUUCCCAGGCUAGGGGUUGAAUUGGAGCUGCAGCCGCUGGCCUACACCACAGCCACAGCCACGUCAGAUCCAAACUGCACUGGCAACCUACACCACAGCUCACAGCAAUUCUGGAUCCUUAACCCACUGAGCGAGGCCAGGGAUUGAACCUACAUUCUUAUGGAUAUUAGUUAGAUUCGUCUUUGCUGAGCCAUGAUGGGAAUUCCUGGGCAUUACUUUCUGACAUAGGAUGAUUUCCAUGUUUACCUUGUAUUUUCUCCAUUCCAGUUUCUUCUGCUGACUUUCAGGUAUGUUCCAUUCGUUUAUAUAUAGAUGCAUUUUCCUUCUCUGAACAUUUUAUUUUUGCCUAGCUGGUACUAUACAUUCCUACUUCUCAAAUAGUUGGGAGAUUAUUCUCGAUCUCAUUUUUCUGAAUUGUGUUUCAUUUUAUGAAUACAUUAUAGUUUCUUUAGUCUCCUUUUGGUGAUUUAAAUUUUUUGCUUCUGUAAACAUUGCCUUAAAUGUAUAACCUUCUUUAUACAUCAUGUUACAUAUUGCUCAGUAUUUGUAGAAUAAUUUCUAGAGGUGAGACUUUUAAAGCAAAGAGAAUCCAUGAUGAGGGUGCCCGUUCGUCCUCUGCCGAGACCAGCUCAGCAGGAUGGGGCUGAAGAAUGGGUGCUGUGGAACUUAAGGAAAAAAAAGGUAACAUAAAACAAGACACAGAGACAUUUAUCUUAAGUAAAGGUGGGCACCUUUGGGGGACUCAAGGUCUCAGGGACCAAAGAGCCCUGCCUCAAGAAACCACACUGCUUUUAUUGUGCUCUUUAGAUGAGAUCAAGUGAGGAGUGGCCAUGGGUGGAUGAUACAGGGUUUAUUUAUUAUAUAAGUUCUUUUACUAUUUAAAAAGCCACUUAGGUGGUAAAAGGUUAAGCUCUUACUCUGACCUCUAGGCACAUAACAGUUCUUAAGCUUAAGUCACUUAUGCCUUUAGAUCUUUGUUCUUAAGCUUAAGUCAUUUACCAGCACAGUGAUUGUUUUUCCAAGCAGGAAGAUGGGAUAAAGUAGGACAAGAAGAUGGGAUAAAGUAAAGAAGGACUAGACGGAGUUUUCAAAGAAACAUGUCUUGCAACAGUCCUCCCUUUUGUCAGUCUGUUAAGUGAUAAGAUUUCUUUGGUUUAAAUUGCUUUUCCAAUGUACUUAGUGAUGUUGAAUAUCUUUCUUUAAUUUAAAAUUUAUAUUUAAAAUAUUUUAAAUCUUUUCAUUUUUAAAGGUAAGUUAUAUUUCCUUUUUGUGAACUAUCUAAUCAUAUUCUUGCCCUAUUUAAACCCAGGUGCUUUUUGAUAAUGCUGUAAAUGUUAUUCGUCCAUCAGGCUGACUUCCUCAGAAACAGGUUCUACUGAUUCCUGUUUGAGCCCAACAUCUUCUGAUUGCAAAUCUCUAGAAAUUUAUUAAAACCAGCCAGUGAAGAAAGGGGGCCUUUCUGGAAUCUUAAUAGAGCUGGGCCUCACAAGGCCUAUCUUUGGGACCAAGGUGACUGUCCUUUCUGUCCUUCUCUUGGCUGUGCAGCUGUUGAAGCUGGUCCACAGAAACAGAGUUAAUCUCUGGAAAUGGUUGUCUAGCCACCAAAACCAGGAGAGAGACUAUCAUUGGCCCCUUUUGGGUCAGGUGUCCCCCACUGGGCCAAUCGCCUGUUUGGUGCCAGCCUGUGGCAUAUGGAGGUUCCCAGGCUAGGGAUCGAAUCGGAGCUGUAGCCACCAGCCUAUGCCAGAGCCACAGCAACGCGGGAUCCGAGCCUUGUCUGCAACCUAUACCACAGCUCAUGGCAACACCGGAUCCUUAACCCACUGAGCAAGGCCAGGGAUCAAACCGGCAACCUCAUGGUUCCAAGUCGGAUUCAUUAACCACUGAGCCACGACGGGAACUCCUGCUUUAUUUUUAAAAAUUUUUUGGUCUUUUUGCCUUUUUUAGGGCUGCUCCUGCAGCAUAUGGAGGUUCCCAGGCUAGGGGUCUAAUCGGAGCUGUAACCACUGGCCUAUGCCACAGCCACAGCAACAUGGGAUUCAAGCUGCAUUUGCAACCUACACCACAGCUCACGGCAACACCAGGUCCUUAACCCACAGAGCAGGGCAGGGAUCGAACCUACAACCUCAUGGUUCCUAGUCUGAUUCGUUAACCACUGCACCACAAUGGGAAUGCCUCCUGCUUAGUUUUUGUUUCUCAGGAUUACUUUGACAAUUCUAGAUCUUUUACGGUUCCAUAUAAAUUUUUGUUUGUUUGUUCUAGUUCUGUGAAAAAUGUGGUAAUUUGAUAAGGGUAAUUUGAUAGGGAUUGCAUUGAAUCUGUUGAUUGUUUUGGGCAAUGUGGCCAUUUUAACAAUGUUAAUUCUUCCAAUCCAGGAGCAUGGACUAUUUUUCCAUUUCUUUGAAUCCUCUUUAAUUUCCUUAAUUAAUGUUUUAUAAUUCUCAGCAUAUAAGUCACCUCCUUGGUCAGGUUUAUUCCUAGGUAUUUAAUUUUUGGGGCUGUGAUUUUAAAAGGUAUUGUAUUUUUAUAUUCCUUUUCUAAUAUUUCAUUGUUAGUAUACAGAAAUGCAACCAAUUUCUGAAUGUUAAUCUUGUAUCCUGCUACUUUUCUGAAUUCAUUGAUCAGUUCAAGUAGUUUUUGUGUGGAGUCCUUAGGGUUUUCUGUAUGUAGUAUCAUGUCAUCAGCAUAGAAUGACAGUUUCACCUCUUCUCUUCCAAUUUGGAUACUUUUUAUUUCUUUUGUUUGUCUGAUUGCUGUGGCUAGGACUUCCAAAACUAUGUUGAAUAAAAGUGGUGAGAGUGGGCAUCCUUGUCUUGUUCCAGAUUUUAGUGGGAAGGCUUUCAGCUUUUCUCUAUUGAGUAUUAUAUUGGCUGUGGGUUUCUCAUAAAUGGCUUUUAUUACAUUAAGAUAUGUUCCCUCUAUACCCACUUUGGUGAGAGUUUUAUCAUGAAUGGAUGUUGGAUUUUGUCAGAUGAUUUUUCUGCAUCUAUUGAGAUCAUGUGGUUUUCGACUUUUUUUUUUGUAUGACUUUGAUUUGCAUUUGUUGAACUAAACUUAUGAACCUGGGAUGAAUCCCACUUGGUCAUGGUGUACGAUCUUUUUUAUGUGUUGUUGGAUUCAGUUGGCUGAAUUUUUUUUGAGAAUUUCUGUGUCUGUAGUCAUCAAAGAUAUUGGCCUAUAAUUUUCUUUUUUGGUAGUAUCCUUGUCUGGUUUUGGUAUUACGGUGAUGGUGGCUUCAUGGAAAGUCUUUGGGAGUGUUCCUUUUUCUUCAACCAUUUGAAGAAGUUUAAGAAGGAUGGGUAUGAGUUCUUUGUAUGUUUUUUAGAAUUCACCUGUGAAGCAGUCUGGUCCUGGACUUUUGUUUGUAGGGAGUGAUUCUAUUACAUAUUUAAUUUUGUUUCUAGUGAUCAGUCUGUUUAUUUGAUCUAUCUCUUCUUGGUUCAGUUUUGGUGGGCUGUAUGUCUCUAGAAAGUUUUCCAUUUCUUCUAGGUUGUCAGGUUUAUUGGUAUGUAAUUGUUCAUGGUAUCCUCUUAUGGUUUUUUUGUAUUUCUGAGUUAUCUGUUGAGAUUUUUCCAUUUUCAUUUCUUAUUUUGUUUGCAUUCUUUCUCUCUUCUUGAUGAGUCUGGCCAAAGUUUUGUCAAUUUUGUUUACCCUUUCGAAGAACCAUCUCUUGGUUUCAUUGAAUUUUUUUUCUUUUCUUUUCUGAAUCUCUAUUUUAAUGAUUUGCUCUCUGAUCUUUAUGAUUUUCUUGCUUCUGACUUCAGGUUUUGUUUGCUCUUCUUUUUCUGAUUCUUUUAGGUGGUGGGUUAAGUUUUUGAUUUGAGAUUUUUCUUCUUUUUUUGAGAAAGAGCCUGUAUUGCUAUGAACUUCCCUCUAAAAGCAGUGCUUUUGUGGCAUCCCAUAGAUUUUGAAUGGUUGUGUUUUCAUUAUCAUUUGUCUUGAGGUAUUUUUUAAUUUCCUUUUGAUUUCCUUCUUGACCCAUUGGUUUUUUUUAAUAGCAUGUUUAGUCUCCAUGUAGUCAGUUUUUUCUCAUUUCUUGCCCUAUGGUUGAUUUCUAGUUUCAUGCCAUUGUGGUCAGAGAAGAUACUUGAAAUAAUUUCUAUACUCUUAAAUUUGUUGAGCUUAGUUUUGUGCCCCAGUAUGUUGUCAGUCGUUGAGAAUGUUCACGUGCACUUGAAAAGAAUGUAUGUUCUGAAUUUUUUGGGAUAUAAUUCUUGAAAAUAUCAGUUAAGCUUAAUUUUUCUUCCUAUUAUGUCAUUUAGGAUUUCUGUUGCCUUUUUGGGUUUCUUUCUAGAGGAUCUGUCCAAAUAUGUGAGUGGGGUGUUAAAGUCUCCUACUAUUUUUGUAUUCCCAUCAAUUUCUCCUUUUAUGUCUGUUAGUAUUUUUUUUUUAAUGUAUUUGUGUGCUUUUAUAUUGGGGCAUCUAUAUUGAUGAGUGUAAUAUCCUCUUCUUGAAUGGAUCUUUUAUCAUUAAACAAUGGAUCCUUUUUGUCUUUUUGGCCUUUGUUUUAAAGCCUGAGAUGAGUAUUGCAACUCCUGCUUUCCUGUCUUUUCCAUUUGCAGGAAAUAUCUUUUUCCAUCCCAUCACUUUCAGUUUAUAUGUGUUCUUUGCCUCUUGUAGGCAGCAUAUGUAGGCUCCUGUUUUUUUUUAAUCUACUCUGCCAGUCUAUUUUUUUUUUUUUUUUUGGCCACUCAGUCCAUUGACGUUUAAGGUAAUUAUUUAUUUAUUUAUUUAUUUUUUUGGUCUUCUUGCCAUUUCUUGGGGCGCUCCUGCAGCAUAUGGAGGUUCCCAGGCUAGGGGUCUAAUCGGAGCUGUAGCCGCCAGCCUAUGUCAGGGCCAUAGCAACGCGGGAUCUGAGCCGCAUCUGCAACCUAUACCACAGCUUAUGGCAUCGCUGGAUCCUUAACCCACUGAGCAAGUCCAGGGAUCGAAUCUGCAACCUCAUGGUUCCUAGUCAGAUUCGUUAACCAUUGAGCCACGACAGAAACUCCCAUUUAAGGUAAUUAUUGAUAAAUAUAUAUUAAACCUUGUUUUCCAGUUAUUUUAUGUUUUUCCUUUCUCUUUUUUUGGUUGGAUGAUUUCCUUUUAUUUUAUGCUUGUGUCUUUGUCUUUAUAAUUUUUGUGACUGUAUUGUUUGGUUUUGAUUUGUGGUAGUUUUGUUUUUCAAGUAUGUUAACCUGUUUCUGCUUGCUUUAGCCUGAUAAUCGUAUACACUCAAACAUGUCCUCUUUUUUUUUUUUUCCUUCAUAGGGCCACAUUUGUGGCAUAUGGAGGUUCCCAGGUAAGGGGUCCAGUUGGAGCUACAGUUGCUGGCCGCAGUCACAGCCACAGCCACGCAGGAUCUGAGCUGCAUCUGCAACCUAUACUACAGCUCAUGGCAACACCAGAUCCUUAACCCACUGAGUAAGGCCAGGGAUUGAACCUGCAACCUCAUGGUUCCUAGUCGGAUUCAUUUCCACUGCAUCAUGACAGGAACUCCAA